AAGCUGUGAGGAAAUCUGUGCUCAUUGUGAUGAUAGGGUCUAUCACUACCGUCCGAUCUCCAUCCGACGACAAAGAGUGCAUCUGAGCUU
rnacentral:snoRNA from 13 species